rnacentral:rRNA from 1 species
AUUGAACGCUGGCGGCAUGCUUUACACAUGCAAGUCGAACGGCAGCGCGGGCUUCGGCCUGGCGGCGAGUGGCGAACGGGUCAGUAAUACAUCGGAACGUGCCCAGUAGUGGGGGAUAGCUCGGCGAAAGCCGGAUUAAUACCGCAUACGACCUGAGGGUGAAAGCGGGGGAUCUUCGGACCUCGCGCUAUUGGAGCGGCCGAUGGCAGAUUAGCUAGUUGGUGGGGUAAAGGCCUACCAAGGCGACGAUCUGUAGCUGGUCUGAGAGGACGACCAGCCACACUGGGACUGAGACACGGCCCAGACUCCUACGGGAGGCAGCAGUGGGGAAUUUUGGACAAUGGGCGAAAGCCUGAUCCAGCAAUGCCGCGUGUGUGAUGAAGGCCUUCGGGUUGUAAAGCACUUUUGGCGGGAACGAAAAGGACUGUGCCAAUACCACGGUUCGAUGACGGUACCCGCAGAAUAAGCACCGGCUAACUACGUG